rnacentral:tRNA from 1 species
UGGGGAUAACUCAGUGGUAGAGAGUUUGCCUCGUGCACCUAAAGGCCCUGGGUUCAAUCUCCAGUACCAUAA